CUCACCCACCACUAGAUCAAGACACUGAAACUGAGAAGAGUUCCUUCCUUAUUUACAGCUUUAUUCUUGACAUCCCUCUUUGAGACCAAAACGAUUGUGGAGCUGACUCGUACCUGGAGUAAUUACAAAAUACCACGGUCAUAACAACAAGAGCCAAAAGAAGUAUCGACCAUCGUUUUACUUUUCAACUUCUGAGGUCACCUACAACACAGUGCAAGAAAGCACAAUUGUGCAUUCACGAGUUGACUGUACCAACCUCUGUAAAAAUUUAGGAACGAGCACAUCCAAGUAAGUGGAUACUUCUUUAUCUCACAGAGUAAAAUCAAGCAUUUUCUACUUUAAAAUUAUUUCUGUGUAAAACAAAGACAGAACUCUUGGAGGUCAAACAAGGAAAACAGAUAGCAAGUGGAACGCACCGUUAAGUCAUGAAACAAAGAAGAAUCUGCAGUAGAAGUCAGGCAGUAUAAUCCACAACCUUUUUAGAGGAGUACUUAUUCCCAGCAACCAUCACAUCUCUGGUAAGAUCUCAUUAAAAAAAAAAAAAGUCACAGGUUCUAAAAAGUUAAUAAUCCACUCUCUGAAAUCAGGUAUAAAACUAUGACCAACAGAAGAUACACAGAGUAAACGGUUUUACUAAAAGCUGUUGACGUUUCCACCAGCAGUAACCAUAGGGAGCUGGCUGGUUGUAACCACAGUGUCCAUAUCCAUGGGGGUAGUAAGUUUCAUGUCUAUACUGCAGGUAACUGUUACCCCAGGAUUGUCCAUGCCGCUGAUUGGAUCGAGUGUCAGUUUGCCACCCCCACCGGUUUGACCUCUAAACAGUCUAUUACCUUGCAACUGAUUGCCUCUGUGUCUCUGGCUCCCAGCAGCUCGGCUGUUCUACUCCUCAACAAUUGGAAGGAGACCCAGGAGGGCUCUUCAGGUAUUCAUGGUACUCUUUGCCAUCUUCUGUGAAUGUACUGGCAAACGUCUCUUCAAAAUUUGGAACAGCUUCAGAAGGGUCUGUAUUCCUGAAAUUCCCAGCAACUUAAGGCAGCUUUACUGUUUAAUGUUUAUGUUGUUUCCAUCUCCGGCCCACAGUGUGGCCAAAGGAUCUCCCAGUACUUCACCUCUCCAAGGUAACGGAGCCACUCCCAUUACUAUUCUUUUUUUUUUUUUUAACAUUUAUUUAUUUAUUUUCGAAAGAGAGAGACAGAGACAGAGACAGAGACAGAGCACAAGCAGGGGAGGGGCAGAGAGAGGAGGGAGACACAGAAUCCGAAGCAGAUUCCAGGCUCUGAGCUGUCAGCACAGAGCCCGACUUGGGGCUCAAACCCAUGAACCAUGAGAUCGUGGCCUGAGCCGAAGUCGAAUGCUCAACCACUGAGCCACUCAGGCGUCCCCCCCCCCAUUACUAUUCUUUUAAACAGAUUUUUUAAAUUUAUGAAAAAAUAAUAUUUUAAAUUUACCUGUAUAUUGAAUUUCCGGUACCUCUUGCAGAUCCAGGUUCCAUCUUGGAUGCUUUCCCUUAAACCUUAAGAACUUCCUUAGCAUUUCUUGUAGUGCAGGCCCAUUGGUGCAAAAUGUUGUGAGAUAUUUUUUCUUCUAAAAUGUCUUUAUUUUUCCUUUAUUUUGAAGAAUAUUUCCACUGGGUAUAGAAUUUAGGUUGCAAGGUUUUUGGUGUGUGUGUGUUUUUUUUUAAUUUGUAAGUAAUUUUAGAAUUUCAAAGAUACUAUUACAUUGUCUUAUGGCUUUCAUUCUUUCUUUUUUUUAAUAAAACUUUUUAAUGUUUAUUUAUUUUUGAGAGAGAGACAGUGUGAGUGAAGGAGAGGGAGACACAGAAUCCGAAGCAGGCUCCAGGCUCUGAGCUGUCAGCACAGAGCCUGAUGCAGGGCUUGAACCCACGAACCAUGAGAUCAUACCCGAGCCAAAGUUGGAUGCUUAACCGACUGAGCCAUCCAGGUGCCCCAGCUUUCAUUGUUUCUGAUGAGAAAUCAGCUAUCAUUUUUUUUUUCAGCUGUCAUUAUAGAGUUAUUCCCCUGAAUGUAAUGUGCAGUUUUUCUCUAGCUAUAUUUAAGUUUUACUCUUUUUGGUAAUCUAACUAUCAUAUGUCUAGGAGUGGUUUGUGUUUUCUCUGACUGGGAUUUACUGAAUUUCUCAGAUCUGUGAGUUUGUGUCUUUCAUCAAUUAAAGAAAAUCUUGUCCGUUAUCUCUUUAAAUAUAGAAGAGACAGUUCUAUACUUUAUUAUCUCUCUUUAUUUUGCCCCAUUCCUUCAAUUCCUUAGAGUCCUAAGCUCCAUUAACAUGUAUUUUUAACCAAUUUAUAGUUCCACACAUCUUGGACAUUCUUUUAUUUUCCAUUCUUUCCUCUCUAAUUUGGAUAAUUUCUAACAAAGUAUCUUCAAAUUAGCUGAUCCUUUCUCUUCUGUAUCCAUUAUGCUGUUAAGUCUAUCGAAUUUUUCAUUUCAGAUAUUGUAUUAUUUUUACUUCCAGAAUUUUCCUUCUAUUAAUUUUUUUAUAGUUCCCAUUUCUCUGGUGAGAAUUUUCAUCUACUCACCUGUUCUGUCCAUCUUUUCACAUUUUUUUUCAUAAAUUGUUUUCUAUAUUUAUAAAAAGUCUUAAAGUUUUAAAGUCUUUAUCUGCUAAUUCCAACAUCUAGGUCAUCUGUUGGUCUGCUUCUAUUCACUUUUUUCUCGAUUAUGUCUCAUAUUUCUUGGCAUAUCUAGUGGUUUUUCACUGUAUACUUGACAUUGUGGAUGACACACUGUAGAAACUCUGGAUUGUGUUACCUUUCUCUAUAAAGAGCAGACAUUUGCUUAUUAUUCUGGUAGGCAGUUAAAUUUGUGGCAGAUUACUUUGAUCCUUUGGAAGGCUGGCUUUAAUCUUUGUUAAGACAGCUCUGCUUUGGGUUGCCUGGGAGGCUCAGUUGGUUAAGCAUUUUACUUUCGACUCAGGCUCAGGUCAUGAUCUCAUGUUUCCUGAGUUUGAGCCCCAUGUCAGGCUCUGCGCUGACAGUGCAGAGCCUGCUUGGGAUUCUCUGUCUCCCUCUCUCUCUGCCGCACACACUCUCUCUCUCAAAACUAAAUAAACUAAAAAAAAAAAAAACAGGUCUGCUUCGGUUUUCUUCUUUGCUCCAGAGUAUACUCUCCUGUAUCAUGCAUAUUUAAAAGUUCUCAUAUAUUAUGACAUAUUUAAAACUUUUCUAUCUGGGGAGAGACUGCCCCUUCCGGGGCCAGCCAAUUGUUAAGAUGCCAAAAAGCUCAUCGGGAAGCAUGCCUCUGAUCUGCAAACUAACCAGUCUGGAGCCAGAACUCCCCUAUCUGGCCCCUGCACCCGGGAGGCAGUAUUCUUCUGUCUUCGUUUCAGAGCCAGGGACAUACCCUACAGCUUAGGGCCUGAUGGAAUUAUUCAACCAGGCCAGUCCUAGGCUGUCUGCCCUGCCAUCUUGCCUUUCUUUCCUACAGAAAUCCCAGUAAAGGUCUCGAUUUCCACUUUCCCCUUACUCCUGAUGAUUCUGGUGCUUCCUCAUGUGGCCCGCAUGGCAUUGUGCCUCCCAUUUCUGGGACCCACGAGCAUAGAAAACUUGUUCUUUCCUGAAUCUCUCCUGCAUGUCCUCUUGUGGCUGCACCUCAGGGAGCAUCACAGAAAAGGACACAGAAGACUCUUAGCCUGAAAUGUGACCAAUACCCCCAGGGGUGUCCCUUCUGGGUAAGCCACAGUGUCUCUCAAGCCCUUCGCACUCGAUGGAAAUCGAACUCCAAACUGUCUCCAGCACUGGGCAGCCCGGGACCUCCUCAGCUAUUCAGCUUUCCAGCUGCUGAUUUCUGGGUGCGGGGGUGGGGGGGUGUAGUUAAGAGGCACACACGUGUAGCUAAGAGCCAGCCAAGACUGUGAAAUGUCUUUGCGCAAACUCAGGUGAGAGGUCCAGUCUGGUGCAUCCCUCCCUUCUGGGAUUUUCUCUUCAGUUUCCAGCCCUCUGGUAGCAUCAACCUCCAAAUUCUCUCUCUUUAUCUUGGUAAAAUCGCCACAUUUUGCUUGACCCUAGUGUCACGAGCCCUGAGGGGGCUGGGAUGUGCUGUCGCGGAGAAGUCAGAUGAAUGUGGCUAAAUGGUAUCCGCUGGUUUGCUUCCUUUAUUUCAACGAUUGUGUCCUUCCAGCUUCUGUCCGCUUCUACUUGCUGCUGCUGCCUUCACACUAUUGUUCUUCAUAUUUGAUAUAGAGUUUAUCAUUGUUAUUAGCAGGAGGGUUUGUCCAACCGAGGCAACUCCGCCAUGGCCGAAAACAGAUUUUCCAAAAUAUUUUCCUGAUGUGCAAAUGAGUCCACAUCAAAUGAUGUGGAAUCAAAAUCAGAAAUCCUUACAAAUUGAGAAAGCCAUAUUUUCUCACUGUUGUUGUAAAAUAAUUUUGGUCACCUCUACUUCCUAGUAUCCGUAAAUUACAGAACUCUAAUAGUUGUAAUUGAGUGGACACUCUGUACUUGGAGAGCAAUGGAGCAGAGUGAUCGGUUCCUCACACACACCCUCCCUUCCCUGUGUUUAAUGGACGUAGCAUCACACAGAACUCCUAGUGGUUCACUUGAGCGACAAAAACAAUUUCUAUAAGCUUGUCUGGGAAAGAAAAGUUACUUUUCGACACUUUGAUAUUGGAACCAAUAUUUAAACUGAUGGGAUUCCUUACGUUGUCAAUAAAAUGACAGAUAGUUAAAAUGAAAGAACCAAUUUCUGCUCCCAAAGCUCGCUCAAAUCAUGUUUUCCUCAACGAUGGCUGGGCUCGAGCAGCUUCCAGAGACCUGGGUGUGGACGCUGCGUGGGCGGCAGAGCGCCUCUGCGCACACACAGGCCACCGUACUCGGUUUCUGAAAACACCCGCUUCAUCUGACAUGGAGCAGAGUGUCACCGGAGGACAGUCGAGCCAAACCCAACACUGGAGCUCUGACACAUCCGGUAAUAAAACGUUUAGCUUGGCUUGGAAAUGCUACUUGCAAUGUUUCCACUCCUUCUCAAUCUCCAUCUUUCAUUUCCUUCGUCCCUGAUUCUUCCACUGGUACUUGCAGUUUUCACACAGAGUUUCUUCUCUCUUGAUGCUCAGUACAGUCUGAUAGUUACCAUUAAACAACAACAACAACAAAAUGGGAUACCUGGGUGGCUCAGUCGGUUGAGUGUCCAACUCCUGGUUUACGGCUCAGAUCGUGAUCUCGUGGUUCGUGAGAUCGAGUCCCACGUCAGGCUCUGUGGUGACAGCUUGGCCCCUGCCUGGGACUCUCCCUCUCUCUCUGCCCCUCCCCUACCCGCUUGCUCUCUCUCUCUUUCUCAAAAUAAAUAAAUCAUCAUGGAAAAAAUAAAAACAUAAUAGAAAAAUAAAAAACCACAAAGGAAAGGAAAACACAUUCAUCGGACUUCAAGGAAGAAACAAAGCACAGCACCUCUGAGAACAAUCCAAGCCGACGCAGCUGUCUUUUCCUCUGAAAAUGCGCUCUGUCACCUGCUCUAGGAGGCGGACCAAGACCAACAGGACGGCUGUGAUGCAGUGCAGAGUGCUUGCGGACAGAAGUCCUGCCGCUGCUUUCCAAGGACCGGUGCAAACACAGCCGCUUGGAAUCUCCAUCCUGCUCCCACUCUGAGCCAGGGACCCCAUGGAUUCACAGAAUCGCAGUACCCCGGAUCUGGAAGGGACGGAAGGGAUUACUUAAUCCGAUUUGUACCUAUCAUCGUGAGAUUCUCCUUCAAAAUACCCUUGAAGGACAGCUCUCAAGUUCCCACCUGUGACCAGAGUCCAUGGUUUCUCACCUCAGCCCACCCCACCUCUGGACAGUGUCAGUGGCUAGAAAUUUCUUUCUGGCAUUAACUAAAAUCCUCAUUUCAGGACUGGUACUCAUUGGCCCUUGCCCUCUACAAAUCUACAGUUACCUAACAGUAAAUAUAGACAGGCGAGAGAUUGCACUUUCUUUCUGUAAGUCAACUUAGACUUACAUCCAAGUCUCCCUCUGGUAGUGUCCAUGGCAACAUUCUGUCCCAGUGGUUAUAAAAUUCCCGGCCAACACCCGACGACCCCAGGGCAAUGAGGAGUUCCCAGGGGCCUACGCAGAGCCAAAUAUUCAGGGACAUUCUUAUUUCAGUCCUUUCGUGUGUGCUCGUUGCCAGUGGAAUGCUCAGGGUCCCGUUGGGGCCGUUGUGGGUGCGGCUGCUCGGCCAUCCCAGGUCCUGCCACCUCCCAGGGCACCUUCACGGAGGGGGGCAGGUUAGUAACACGAGGCAGGUCACCUACACCUGUUCUAUUCCUCCCAGGAUAUCUUUUCCUCCUAAUUCUUUUUUUUUUUUUUUUAGUUUAUUUAUUUAUUUUCAGUGAGAGAGAGAGAGAGAGAGAGAGAGAGACAGCAGAGGAGGGGCAUAGAGAGAGAGAGAGGGAGAGAGAGAAUCCAAAGCAGGCUCCAUGCUGUCAGCACAGAGCCCAAUGUAGGGCUCGAACUCAUGAACCGUGAGAUCACGACCUGAGUCUGAACCAAGAGUUGGACGCUUAAUCGACUGAGCCACCCAGGUGCCCCUCUCCUAAAAGUACCUACUUCUUGAAAGUACCACUCCUGUCUACCCUACCACAGGAAACUGUUGAAUUCCUUACCAGCUUCCAUAAAAGUCAGGGAGGGCCCUUGUCAUCCAGCCUCCUGGCACAGCCCCAGGCAAUGAAAUUCCACUUGCACACUUGCCUGAAGUGUGGCGGGGCAGCAGGGAGGCCGGAGAGGAAGGUAAACACAGAGGCCCAAACACAAGUUUUAACUGCCACACGAAGCACAAAUAAAUCCUUUUCUCCAUUUCCUUCCGAGUAUUUGUCACUACCUAUCACGUUUGCCUCAAAUGCUACCACCCAGUUCAGAAACCAUUCCUGGUGCCUUCACUGAUUCCCCCAAAACAGAGUUUCCAACUUUUCCAUCCCUGUCUCAACCUGCUACCACUUGUCACGCCUUUUAACGUAUGGUGCCAACACCCGUGGAGCGCAGGCGUGGUGUGGCCCAGGAUGCGAAUCGCGGAGCCGGGCGAGCGCGCCCUCUGGACGACACACGGUAAUUGCGUGACAGUGCGUCCGUCCCCCACCCACCUCGUGCGGUCGCCCCUCGAGACUGCAGCCAACACGCAACUGCACACUCUCUUCCAGCACCUUCUCCGGGGUGUCGCUUGGAGCGGCCCCCCGUGAAGCUCUCCUCCGUGGCUGCCUCGCUCCUGAGAGAAGCCGUCUCCGUCCCUUCGGUUUGUCGGCCGCGCUCCUCGGAUCCCAAGGAGUUUCAGCAUUUCGGAAAUCACCAAAAGCGGGUGGAGCUGUCAGACGCCGGGCUUUGAGGGGGCUCGGCCUCUCCACCUUCCGUGACUUGUCUCUGUGUUUGUUUGAUUGGAAGCAACUCGGUAAAACCUUCUCUCUGCGUCCACAGUUGAGAUGCCCACGUGGGGCUAAACCCUAUCAGUUUGGGGCUAAUUGGAGGAAAGGCCGAUGGAAUUAGCGGGAAGUCGAGUACCUUAACCAAAAUUCGCUAAUAGAGGGUUGCCAAGGAGAACAAAAUUCUUUGGAAACUUUCUAAGAACUGUUUUAAUUAGCAUACAAAUUGUUCGUCUGGCAUCGCUAUAAUGUUUGGCCUCAAUUUGCUCUCAAGUAACAGGACUUGCUUUAGAAAGCCUUUUUAUUAGCUUGAAGCUACACUACGGCUGGAGCCCGUAUGGUUACUACAAAUUACCAGGUUCCACAUUAAUGAAGCGUUCGUGCCUGAGGAUUAUAGGGUCUUGGAGACAGAGAAGAUCUCCGUGGAUAUUGAAUCUAAAUUUCUCCCCGUUGCUAAAAGCCUCUGCUUGAAUAUUUUUCCUGAGCGCUAUGAGCAUAUAUUACACGAUAUAUGGAAGGAAGGGGGGAGAGAGAGGAAGAGGGAGAAAUGUUUUUAUUUUUGAUUGAGUCAAAAUCCUCCUCGGGUCGAUUUCCACCUCCCUGCUUCAGCCCUGCGCUGGGAAACACCGCACAAGAAGACACAGCCCGCUCUUCUGAGAACUUUUCACCACAGGCUCGGCAGAGCCGGGUACCUGGGCCAGCAGGCGUAGCCUCCGCCCUCUCGCUAACCACCGUGGCCUCUGUCCUUCCUGGGAGGCACCCCCCACCCCCAGUGCUCGGGGGCCAGGGAGCACCUGUGGAGAGCGGCGGACCAGUGUCUGCACCCCAUCCCCACGUGACCUCCAUGGGGAGUACUGUGUGCAGCUCACCCCACGCAGGGCUCGGACCGUGCAGGUGACCAGUAACUACCUCGUUAUCUCUGCCCCCUCCCUUCCCAAUCAACAUGGGGACGGGGUGCCUCCAUAGAACACCCAGACAUUCUUUCUCCCCGAGAAGGUGUGUCGCGGAGAAGCACAGGCUGCCGAGAGACGCCAUGGGCUGGGGGGGUUCUUCUCCGCCUCCCUGGCCCACAGGAAAUCUCUGCCCUCAACCGGGUUCUUAAUCUUGGCGGCACAUAGAAUCACUCAGGGGCUUUAAACACGGUGAUGUCCAGGCCACGCCGGGACCGGUGAGGCUGAUUCACCCAAUUUGGCCCUGAAAAAGCACUUAUCGUGCUACCUCUCGCUUCCUUUGUUUCAGGCAUUAUCCACUGACUUUCAUUUUGUGUGCUGGGAUUUUGGCUGUUCAUUGCAUGUGCACACGCAUGCACACACACAGGCGCACACACAUGAGCACACAUGCACACACACACACAGGCACCGGCACACAUGUGCACAUAGGAGCACGCACAGGCACACACGCACACACAGGUGCACACACGAGCACACACAGGCACGCACACAGGCACACGCAGGCAUGCACACAGGCACACACAGAUGCGCACAUGUGCACACACAGGUGCAUGCACAAGCACACACAGGUGCCCACACACGCACACGUGCACACACAGGCACACAAGCGCACACACAUGCUCACACAGGUGCACACACAAGCACACGUGCACACGAGCACACACACACACACACAUGCACACACGAGCACACACGCAUAUGAGCACACAUGCCCCAGCCAUGAGUUCUCAACGUGCUCCCUCCUAAAUAUUUGGUUCUUUGCCUUCUCUCUGUGUAAACACUAUCCACAUAGAAAACUACGACUCCAUUUCCUUUCUUGCACAUUUUUUCUCCCCAAAGUGAGUAACUGUCUUGGUCUUUCAGUUGUUCAACCUUCCGCGCACUCGUCAUGAACUCACUGCACGCUCCACCGUGAGCACAGCCGUCUCCCUCACGGGCACAGACACACCUGGCCUUCGCUGUCUCACCUUCUCUGUGCUGAGGUCCCGCAGGCCUCGGUCCUCCUGCCCCUGUCUGCACGACUGUACCCAGGGCCCACCCAGGAGUCGCGGCAUGGCUUCUUGUCAACUGCGUCAGGUUCCUCGUUCCAGAUCCCGGGUGCUGUGCUUCCUGUUUACUCCCAUCCCUCCCCUGGCUUCCUGAGGGAGUGCGUGCGAGGUCAGGGCGUGGAGACCCUCCACGUCUGCAGAUCUCGAUAGUGACGGGUCUGGAUGCAAAGUGCCCUCAGAGUGCUGGGGCCUCGUGCACGACCUCCUGACGCCCAGGGCUGUAGUGGGUGGCAUCACGUCGCAGCAGGCACUCAGGCCCCAGCCGGAGUUCCCCAACGCCUGCAGGUGCCCCUCACCCCUCCGGAUGGACCUGUUCCCCGUUUUGGCCGGGACUCCUUUUCCUGAGAACUCUCGCCGGUCCCCGCAGCACGAGUGUGUCCUGUUACCUCGCUCUUUCUCACCCUUUUCCUCUUCGGAUUUUGAGAAUUUAAAAAAAUUCACCUUCCAACAAUUCUGCUGCCGAGCUCGGCAUUUAUGCUAUUGGAGGUUCUUUGUUUUGUUUUGUUUUGUUUUACAAAAGCUUUCCCCCCUUUUCAUGCCUUUCCGGGUGCUCCUUUUUAAGGCAUUCUGUUCUUGUUUCAUGAGUGCGAUAUCUACUCUCCUCUCUCUGAGGAUACGAAUUCAAGCAUUUUCAUUUCUUCCCCCUGCAUUGUGUCUAUUUUCUCUGGAUGUUUGUGCCUUUCUCCUCCUUGUUCUGGUGUCUGAAUUCGAUGUUGGGUGCUCUCCUCCAGAGUCUGAUAGUUCUGGGCCGUCCACUCAUAAGAGCAGGGCUGGUGGGCUGUUGGUAGCUCCGUGUGCGUGGUCACCAUCGGAUGGACCGCUGAGGAGGUGCCAUGGGCCCUCACUUAGAAACUGUGGACAUUUCUCACAUCUUGUGAGGAUGACACAGUCCUGAGGCCGCUCACUUAACCCACUCCGGGAGAGACCUUCUCUGUGACCCCAACCAGGCAGCAAGCCUUCUCCAGGCCUCAGCUGCCUUCCUGCGACAGGUGGAGGGAAGGGACCUCAAGUUUCCCAGGAGCCUUUUGCUUUGAGGCCGACCUGGUCCCUGCCUUCCUGGGCCCCUGCCGCCGUCCGCUUCCGUGCCAUUCCGGUGCUGUGGUGUGAGUGCUUGCCUGCUGGCCUCCCUCGCAGUGUCAGCUGUUCUGGGCCUGAGGAACCCGUCACCACUCCUCAGUCUGUUUCCCGGCCCCCACAGCCUCCUUGCUCUGGCUUCCUGUCCCCUUUCUCUGUAGGGACCUGCACCACAUUCUUCUCUCCCCUUUUCCUCCCCCUCCUCCUUCUCUCCCUCUCUGCCUCCUGUCAUCUGAAGAUUCAGACAGGAGCACAGGAAAAACCGAGCCUUCACGUCAAGGAAGCCCCUGGGCUCCUUUCCACUCUUCAAACAACGCUAUGCUCCAAGCUCGGGGUGAGUCACGAAGUCCACAGAUCCACCCCGAGGCCUGACAGUUGUCGCCCAGCGCACACCCCCUCCUCACCGCCAGGGCCAAGAGCCUAGCAGCCCCCGCACAAGCAUGUGCUGAACACCCGGCUGAAUCAACAGCGGCCUCAUCCGUGGUCUCCUCCCCGGCAGCUGCUUCGCGGAGAAAUGGCCCCAAAUGACAUAGUUUUAACUUGUUCUUCUUUAGUUUUCUUUUGCUUACACACGAGUGUCUGUAAUUUGCUAAUUCCCUCAUAUCUUCUGCUGCAUUUUUGGUCUCUUGGAUUAGAUUAUAAGAUGUUUGAGAAUGUGGGCUGUCUUAGAAUUACAGAAUCGGGGUGCCUGGGUGGCUCAGUCGGUUAAACGUCUGACUUCGGCUCAGGUCAUGAUCUCACGGCUCAUGAGUUCGAGCCCCGCAUCGGGCUCUGUGCUGACAGCUCCGAGCCUGGAGCCUGCUUCAGAUUCUGUGUCUCCCUCUCUCUCUGACCCUCCCCUGCUCACACUCUGUGUGUGUGUCUCUGUCCAUCCCCUGCUUGUGCUCCCCCCCCCACCCUGAAAUAAUAAAUAAAUUUUAUUUAAAAAAAAACCUAAUGAAAUCCAGGCUUGUGGACAAGUUUAUAAAUAUGGGCAUCUACAUUUUAUAUUCCGUAGAGCUUCAAUGAGACUUAGCACCAUUGUCCCCCAUGCUAUCAUUCUGCCCAUCUUUUCUUCUUUGUCAGGUGAAUUCGUGAACUCCUGGAGGAUGGGGACGAUGACACAUUCAUUUUUAAAUUUCCUAAGUUUCGGGGCGCCUGGGUGGCGCAGUCGGUUAAACAUCCGACUUCAGCCAGGUCACGAUCUCGCGGUCUGUGAGUUCGAGCCCCGCGUCAGGCUCUGGGCUGAUGGCUCAGAGCCUGGAGCCUGUUUCUGAUUCUGUGUCUCCCUCUCUCUCUGCCCCUCCCCCGUUCAUGCUCUGUCUCUCUCUGUCCCAAAAAUAAAUAAACGUUGAAAAAAAAAAUUAAAAAAAAAAAAUUUCCUAAGUUUCUUUCCAGAUGCCAGAGGAAUUAUGAAAUUUUCAUACAUCCAAGAGUCACCUGGAGAGCCCAUAACACGUGCAAACCCCCAGAGCCCUUUGCAGGUGAUUCUGAUUCUGUGUGUCUGAGGCAGGGCCUAGUGAUGUGCAUUUUAUCCAGCUCCCCAGGAAUCCAGGACGGGUGGUCCUCCGAGCACACACUCAUGCUGAGAAAUGCAAACCCGGGGAAUAAGGGGCGUGUGGCGAAAAUGAAUGAAGAAGGAGAAGGGGGCAGGUGAGAGAGGCAGGCUCACUUCUGAUUCCAGAUCUCUCAGAACUCGGCCGCCUUCCCAUCCCUGCCCCACUCACAACGUUUGUGUUCAUUUCCCUUCAGGAGAUGAAAAGGACACCUAAAGCCCUCUGGAGGUGCAAAGCUCAGAUCUGCCAGGUUGGAAGGGGAACGGCUUUUCCCGGGAGACUCGGAAUUAAACUGACAAAAAACAGAUUAGCCAAAGAAGAGAAGAGUUUCUUUAGGCCUGCAACGUGCACACCUGG
rnacentral:lncRNA from 1 species